GCUAAUACCGCAUGACAUAUCGGAACCACAUGGUUUUGAUAUCAAAGAUUUUAUCGCUUGAAGAUGGACUCGCGUCCGAUUAGUUAGUUGGUGAGGUAACGGCUCACCAAGACCGCGAUCGGUAGCCGGACUGANAGGUUGAACGGCCACAUUGGGACUGAGACACGGCCCAGACUCCUACGGGAGCAGCAUG
rnacentral:rRNA from 1 species